GGUAAUCAGAUCUUAUCUUAUAGCAGUCAAUACUUAUUGCUUACCAAGGCUGCUUGGUGAUAUUCUGCUGAUUUGCAGCGGAUAAUCUAAUACUUGCCUGGGCACUGUCCUGUCUUAGGCGGUGCUCACGUGUCUGGCUCGUUGGAUCCCGAUCGACCGGCCUGAAAUAAGCGGGGCUAACAUCUAAAGCAACGACAUCGCACUUUCCCCAUUCCCCUCCCCACCCUCUCCCGCAUCGGGCUCCCCUUCUCGAUCUCCACCUCUGAAUCUGCGUCGUCGGCGGCGAGCCGUCCGACGGGAAGCCUCGGUGGAGCCCCCUGGUCGGUGUGAGCAGCGGUUGGAGGAGUUUCGACGCCGCGGACUAGCGGAUCGACGCGUUUGGGGCCGGAGUCGCCGUGGUGAGAGGGUCGCGGACUAGCGGAUCGACGCGUUUGGGGCCGGAGUCGCCGUGGUGAGAGGGUCCUUCAACGGCUCGGCGCCCUACUCCGCCGGAUCUCCGUGCUUGUCUGCCGACGGCGCGGGUAAAGCCGGUGGAGGCGGGUUCAUGGCGUCCAUCGCGAAGCUGCAGAAGAUGAUGGUGGAGGAGGUUGGGGAUGAUCAGAAUGCACGAGUUCCUGUGCGCGUGCGGGGCGGCGGAGGCGGUGUGUGCCGCCGCGGUCGCUGGCGGCAGCAAGUGCGUCGACGGGGACGGCGCCGUCAAGGUCAAAGCGGACGAGCUCAAGGUGUGGCUGGACCUGCUCCCGACCAGCACCAACGGGUUGGUGUGCCAGCUGGAUGACUUCCUGGACGGCAUUGUGGGGUGCGGAAGGAGUUGUCCGAUCUCUGCAUCCAACAUUGAAUUUCCACGGACGAACGAAUGAUGAUGACCCCUGGAAUCUUGUCAACUGCUUGCAACGCGUGGUGGCAAGUAAAGCAACUCCUCGCUGAAUGCCCUUUCAUCGGCGGUCAUGGUGAGCAGCAACCAAUUUGUGCAUGUGCGCAAUGGUGAAACUUUUCUGUCGCAUAUGAUCUCUACACAUAGUUCAGUUUCAUAUCCUAUGUAGAUAGUAUUUCUAUAGUGUAGAACCAUCUGUAUGUGCUAUGUGCAUACCUUAUCUUUCUGCGGUGUAGUUUUUCUGAGUUUUUUUACACUUGGGAUGUAGUUUAGCGCUUCAGUGUGUGUUAUUCCAACUAAGAUUAAUAUAGAACAAUGUAAUUAUGUUUAAAUCAGGUUAGUUAAUUCUGCGUGUACCAUGAUGAACUUUCUUUAUGUAUACACCGGAAUGUUAUUAUGCUCAUGUAAGGAUGUUGUUUUUUGUAGUUAUCCUUACAUUAAGAUGUAUUUUUUUAUCAAACAUGCCUGGGAGUAUCAUUUCUAUUAGGAAGAAAGCGCUAAGAAAGCACAAGCAACUUCUAUCGCUCGGUUGGUUCGGUGCUAGCGUUUUGCUCGAUGCAAGAUUGGAGCUGGUGGUGUUCUAUCACCUUUUUAUUUGGUAACUACUCUCUAUCUAUGUCCAUCAUUAGAGAGUGAGACCAUUUAGAUAGAAAUGAACCUACUGACCCAAUCUGAUUGCUUCUCCCAUUUGUUUGGUAUUCAUCUGUGGUUGAAAACUUGCAUCUUGGGAGAUAAAUCUCUGCACUUUGUACUGUGUUGGUGGUAGUCUCUGCUGGCAAUAUGUUGUUGUAGCUCUAGAAAAGAUGGCAUGUAAAAGUUUAUCAACACUACCAAGGUUGCAGUCGACCGAUCCUCUGAAUUUUUGGUUCAACUAGCUUUGAGUUUAUGUUGAUAUUUCUUGGGAAGAAACUAUGCUUAUUAAUGUUUUUUCGCAAAUACUCGUGGAUGUAAAAAACCUAUAAAACCAUGAGUAUUAUAUGUUAUUCUUGUGUAUGCACAAUGUAUGCUUUUUUACACCUAGAGUUUUUAAUUUUAUUGCAAAGUGGGUGUUACUGUAUAAUCUUAGGCUGUAAAAUUUGUAUAUUAAUUACAUCUUGUUCAUAUGGAUGUACAGGAUGUACUUUUAUACUCAAAGGUUACAAGGUAGAAUUUUUCAAGUUUUUAUAGAUCUAACAAUCCAUGUUUUAUUUGUAUGUAAUUUUAUACACAGGAUGUAAAAUCAUGAAUAUUGUAUGUAAUUUCUAUGCACAUAGGAUGUAUAUUUUUUUCUCUUAAAGUUUUUUGAUCAUAUCAUGCAUAAACAGGAUGUAUUUUUUCUCAAAUUUUUACAUCGUAAUCCAUGUUCACGGAAUUAUAGAUUUUUAAUGGGUUUCUAAUGCAUAAAUCAUUGAAUAUCUUAUUUAAUUCUUGCAAGAUUUAAAUUUCAGCCAUAGUUACAUAGUUGCCUUUGCUAGUUCGUGUAUUAGGAUGUAUUAAUUUUGGUUUUGUAGUUGGGGUAACAGCAUGAGUAUUUUUUUGCCAUGGUCCAAAUAAACUUCUGCCAUGAUAGAAUGUAAAUUACUAGGAAAAAUAACAUCUAUAUUUUUUUACUUUUUGCAGGAGUGCCCAAUUUUCAAGUAGUUUUGUCUAGUGGAGACUUAUUCUGUGUUAACUGAAAUCUUUCGUCUCCUUCAGAGUCUUAACUUCACAAUGUAUGCACUGUUUCAACCCAUGUGUCUGCAGACGGGUAGGUAAGGCCUGAUUGGUUGCUAGCAGCGUUUUCCUGCACCUGGGGAGAUUUUCUCCUUGGAGCCAUGUUCAACUGAGCCAAAUCUAAAACCAUGUUGUGCAUAUUGAUUGAUUGCUAACAAUUUAUUUUUCGGCUCCGAGGGAGAAACAGAAGUUCGUGUUUGGUUGGCAACAAAGAUGAAUUUUCGUGUCGUGCACGACGUUUGGAUGCGUGCACGCAAAGAUGGGCUGGGAUCAUGCAUUUGUUUUUUACAUCCCUGAAGUGUAGAAGCCAGAUGGUGCUGGUUUUUCACCACAUGGUGCAGCAACAAAGGAAAAGUUACAUAAGUAGUGACCAAAUUUUUUGCCUCGCUGGAUCCGAAGAUUAUUUCCCCUACCAAUACAAAAAAAUGGUGCAUUUUCUAGGGCACGUACUUAUGAAACGUACACAAACUAUGUCAUUAAGGUUUUAGUGCCUUUUUGCUUUAAGUUUUAUAUAAUUUGGUUUUCAUGAUUAUCGAUAGUACUUGGGAGGCAUUUUGUUCAUCCUUGUUUCCCUUGAGUUUUAGCUUGAUGAUGUAAUAAUGUUGAUAUAUUUACAUCUAGCCGCAGCAUGAGGAUUAUUGUAUCUUUUUUCCCUGAGUUUUUCAAGGGGGUGCCGGGAAAAAGGGCAUGUUUGGUUGAUCA